rnacentral:rRNA from 1 species
UGGGGAAUCUUCCGCAAUGGACGAAAGUCUGACGGAGCAACGCCGCGUGAGUGAUGACGGCCUUCGGGUUGUAAAGCUCUGUUAAUCGGGACGAAAGGCCUUCUUGCGAAUAGUUAGAAGGAUUGACGGUACCGGAAUAGAAAGCCACGGCUAACCACGUGCCAGCAGCCGCGGUAAUACGUAGGUGGCAAGCGUUGUCCGGAAUUAUUGGGCGUAAAGCGCGCGCAGGCGGAUUGGUCAGUCUGUCUUAAAAGUUCGGGGCUUAACCCCGUGAUGGGAUGGAAACUGCCAAUCUAGAGUAUCGGAGAGGAAAGUGGAAUUCCUAGUGUAGCGGUGAAAUGCGUAGAUAUUAGGAAGAACACCAGUGGCGAAGGCGACUUUCUGGACGAAAACUGACGCUGAGGCGCGAAAGCCAGGGGAGCGAACGGGAUUAGAUACCCCGGUAGUCCUGGCCGUAAACGAUGGGUACUAGGUGUAGGAGGUAUCGACCCCUUCUGUGCCGGAGUUAACGCAAUAAGUACCCCGCCUGGGGAGUACGACCGCAAGGUU